rnacentral:lncRNA from 1 species
AAACUAUGCAAUACAGAAACCACUCUAUUUCUGAAUGAACUUCGUCAGAUUCUAAAUUGUCCAAUUUCAUGGACCAAUCGAUAGCCCAAAACUUGGGGAACAUUAUAGCAUGGUGGGAGGAGUCAGUUCGUGAGUUUUGAGUGAAAUCCAAUCUCUAAAAGUAUUCAAUACACCAACCACUCCAUUUUAGAACGAACUUCGUACGAACCGAAAUUGUCCAAUUU